rnacentral:rRNA from 1 species
AUUGAACGCUGGCGGCAGGCCUAACACAUGCAAGUCGAACGAGUGGCGGACGGGUGAGUAAUGUCUGGGAAUCUGCCUGAUGGAGGGGGAUAACUACUGGAAACGGUAGCUAAUACCGCAUACCAUCAGAUGAACCCAUAUGGGAUUAGCUAGUUGGUGGGGUAACGGCUCACCAAGGCGACGAUCCCUAGCUGGUCUGAGAGGAUGACCAGCCACACUGGAACUGAGAAACGGUCCAGACUCCUACGGGAGGCAGCAGUGGGGAAGAUUGCACAAUGGGCGCAAGCCUGAUGCAGCCAUGCCGCGUGUAUGAAGAAGGCCUUAGGGUUGUAAAGUACUGUCAGCGGGGAGGCGUUACCCGCAGAAGAAGCACCGGCUAACUCCGUGCCAGCAGCCGCGGUAAUAC